rnacentral:rRNA from 1 species
AGAUUGAACGCUGGCGGAAUGCCUUACACAUGCAAGUCGAACGGCAGCACGGGAGCAAUCCUGGUGGCGAGUGGCGAACGGGUGAGUAAUACAUCGGAACGUGCCCAAUCGUGGGGGAUAACGUAGCGAAAGCUACGCUAAUACCGCAUACGAUCUACGGAUGAAAGCAGGGGAUCGCAAGACCUUGCGCGAAUGGAGCGGCCGAUGGCAGAUUAGGUAGUUGGUGGGGUAAAGGCUCACCAAGCCUUCGAUCUGUAGCUGGUCUGAGAGGACGACCAGCCACACUGGGACUGAGACACGGCCCAGACUCCUACGGGAGGCAGCAGGUGGGAAUUUUGGACAAGUGGGACGC